AACGCUUCUUUUCCAAGGCUGUCUUUUCUGUCUGCGGCUGCAUAAGAAAUAUAUUGGUACGUCAACAUCAAUGGAUGCUGGAAACAUUAAGUUUUACGAACAGUGUACAAUAGCUCCAGUAAAUAUGAUUAAUUUGAUUCUGUACCAAAAAGAAAAAAAUAUUAGCUUUAAACCUUUUCAAAAAAAAUUUAUAGUUUCUCACGUUACAACGUAAACACAAACUAAAUAUAACUGAAAUAUGGAAGUAUGUUUUUCAUUUUUCAUACAUAAGAUGUGAUAUAUAUGCAUAACAGAGAAUAGGUAAAGAAUGAAGAACCAACUAUUAUGAUGAUGUGAUAUAUAUGCAUAAUGGGGAAUAUGUAAAGAAGGAAGAACCAACUACUACGAUGAUGUGAUAUAUAUGCAUAAUGGGGAAUAUGUAAAGAAGGAAGAACCAACUACUAAGAUGAUCGGACCAAUUUCAAUAUCUCCGAUGUGAUAAAAUUGAUCCGAUCUAACUUAUUUUUAAAAAUAUUUUUAUUUAUAAAAAAGAAACAAAAAACUUGAAAUGAUAUGGCCCGUGAUAUGAGAGUCAUGUUUCAAUCGAAGAAGUUCUCCGAGUUAAAAAGUUCACAUAUUAUUUCGACUUUAUUCGUGUAAAAAAGUGCACAUGAUAGAUCAUCAAGUUAAGUAUUUCUCCAUUACAAGCUUAUAAAAGCUCAUAAAAAAAGAUUGAGUAUUUGGUACCGAUUUAGCAAGUUUGAAAUGAAGGCACCAUUGGUUGGAUUGCAUUAUAUGUUGUUUGUCACAUGACUUUCAUUCAUUAUAAAAGAUUUGAGUGUUUUGAUGAUGUAAUAGUUCCUCUAGAUGUUAUAGUUGAUGUAUUGUUAUAUUCGAAUUUAUCGACCUCAAUAUGCACAUAUUAAGUUUCAAUUUGUUGAAAAUAAUAGCUACGUUGGAAACUAAUAGUUUAAUUCAUGAAAAAAUUAAUAUAAAUUUUACUUUAUAGCGUAAUGUGACUAAUAAGAAUGAUCGAAUCUUCAGACUUCUAUUUCAUCUCAAUAUGGUGUACAAUACCAAUCAUAUGAAGAAUCGUGUUUCCAUGGGCUUAAAAGUAACUACAAUGUAUUUUGUGUGUGUAUAUAUAUAUAUAUAUAUAAUGAUGAAAUCUGAUCAGAGAGAAGAAAGUUUCUUACAAAAUUUACACAUAUGAUUUUAUAGCAUGUAACUGUGAUAUAUGAGGUGCUAUGGUAACCAAAAUUUCUAAACUAUUCAUAUUAUGGUUAAAUAGGACUAAUUACAUAUUACACUUUAUACUUGACUUUAUUAGUAUUAUUGUAUCUGUAUUUAAAAUAUUUAUAUUGAGAUCCCUAUAGUUUUAAAAAUAAAAUAAAUAUUUUUUUUAAUAUUAUCAGUUAUAUUGAUAAAAAAUUAUAACGCAUGACAUCACGUGUUGGAUUAAUAUAAAAGUGAUGGAUAAAAAUAUAAUUUUAAUAUUUUUAUUUUUAACCUAUAAAAUAUUAAAAUUAUUUUUUAUCAAUAAAAUAAUUAAAAAUAUUAAAAAUAUUUUUUUCCAUUAUUUUUGCAUCGAUUCAACAUGUGUUUUCUAUCAAUAUAACUAAUGACGUUACGAUAAAUGAGAUUAUUUAUUAAUUUUAAAAAAUUAAAAUAUAAAAUUAUGAUAUUAAUAAAAUCUAAAUAAAUAAUAAUAAUACAUAAUUAAUCCGUUAAAUAGCAUGCACAUUGUCGAAGUCUUUAACCCCAUACUCCCAUGUGGAUCUCUGUCUUCUCUUGUGUGAAUGUCUUCAGCUUCAGUAUCCGGUCCCCUUGUUCUUGACACGAGAGUGCGUUCCUGCAUCUACUCCAGCUGGAAGCUGACUCCAUUCCCUGCACAUGAUUACAUUUCAGCUCGACGAAGUCGCCUCAUUACAGGUAAACAAACGUUCACGCGGUCGACCUGCAAGCGAAGACGGGAACGUCAGCUUCAUGCGAUAGAUCUCUACGCUGUGGUGAGAAGACGACUGCAGUUAGCCCAACUACUGAACAGCUAAACUUAUUCCUGCAGUACGUUGCCCAGCUCGUUCUGGAGAGUCCCAUCAACGAAGGCGAUGGCCAAGUAAAGAGAAUGUCUCUAAAGUCUUCGGAUCAAUAGAGGGGCGGAUGGUGGUGGCCCCGGUGAUUGACGGAUGGUACAGAUCAACUGCUCCCCGGAUAAGGAUGUCCGAGCUUCCCGUAGGAGAUGGUUGCGUGGAUCGCAGAUCAUUCCCCUCUUUGAUCCAAAAGAGAAAUGACAGAAGGCCAGGUUGCUUUCAGAUCGACAACUCAAAUCGUUGACAUCUAAACUGCAACUAGCAUGCGACAAGUUGUUUCCACAGGUCACGCGCUUUUAAUGCUUUGAUCGAAUCGAAAAGCCUAACCAUGGAAGAACAGUUGGAUCUGUAUUGCAAUUAAUGUCA
rnacentral:lncRNA from 1 species